AGCCCUGUAGGCGAAAACAACAUGAACCAAUGAGGAUCCUGAGUACGGCGGAACACGAGAAAUUCCGUCGGAAUCAGCCGGGACCAUCCGGCAAGCCUAAAUACUACCUAGUGACCGAUAGUGAACCAGUACCGUGAGGGAAAGGUGAAAAGAACCCCGGAAGGGGAGUGAAAAGCACUUGAAACCGUAUGCUUACAAGUAGUCAGAGCCCGUUAAUGGGUGAUGGCGUACCUUUUGUAGAAUGGACCGGCGAGUGACGAUUUCAUGCAAGGUUAAUCUGAAGAAGAGGAGCCGCAGCGAAAGCGAGUCUGAAUAGGGCGUGCAGUAUGAGGUCGUCGACCCGAAACCAGGUGACCUACCCAUGUGCAGGGUGAAGGUGCGGUGAAACGCACUGGAGGCCCGAACCCACGUAUGUUGAAAAAUGCGGGGAUGACGUGUGGGUAGCGGUGAAAUUCCAAUCGAACCUGGAGAUAGCUGGUUCUCUCCGAAAUAGCUUUAGGGCUAGCCUCGGAUGAUGCAUCGUGGAGGUAGAGCGACUGUUUGGACGAGGGCCCCUUGCGGGGUACCGAAUCCUGAUAAACUCCGAAUGCCACAGAUGUUAAUCCGGGAGUCACACUGCGAGUGAUAAGAUCCGUAGUGGAAAGGGAAACAACCCAGACCGUCGGCUAAGGUCCCCAAAUCCUUGUUAAGUGGAAAAGGAUGUGGGGCUGCUUAGACAACUAGGAUGUUGGCUUAGAAGCAGCCAUCAUUUAAAGAGUGCGUAAUAGCUCACUAGUCGAGUGGCCCUGCGCCGAAAAUUUACCGGGGCUAAACAAGGUACCGAAGCCACGGAUAGAACCUUUGGUUCUAUGGUAGGAGAGCGUUCUAAUCAGCAUAGAAGCCUGACUGUGAAGACAGGUGGAGCGAUUAGAAGUGAGAAUGCCGGUAUGAGUAGCGAAAGACAGGUGAGAAUCCUGUCCACCGAAUGACUAAGGUUUCCUGGGGAAGGCUCGUCCUCCCAGGGUUAGUCGGGACCUAAGCUGAGGCCGAACGGCGUAGGCGAUGGUCAACAGGUUGAUAUUCCUGUACCAGUUUCUUUUGUUUGACCGAUGGAGGGACGCAGCAGGCUAAGAUAUGCCCACUGAUGGAUGUGGGUGCAAAUAA
rnacentral:rRNA from 1 species